GUACCUGUACAUGAUGAAAAUCUGAACUGCAACUUAAGCUGUUCAAAUCCACCUGAAAUCAACCAACAAAACAAUAAUUGUUAAACCCCCGUGACCAAAUCGACCAUUAAAAGAAAACGAAAACUUAAAUCCAAAACCUAAAUGUACCUGAUGAAGAACUGCAACUAGAGCUGUUGAGAUUUACCUGAAAUCAACCAAUAAUUAUUGUUAUACCACCAUGAAGAAAAUCGACCAUUAAAAGAAAAAAAUAGGGAAAAAAAUACUUCAACCAAAAACCCUAACUGUACCUUUACAUGAUGAUUUUGAAAAUUAAACCCAACUGUUGUACAAUUGAGAGAUGUAAAAGGUUAAUCUUAGUGAGGUUUUCUGAUAUAAGGGCUUAAUUAGGUUUCUAUGGUGGAGUUCUGAGUGUGGAGGAGAAAUUUUGGGUGGUCUGGUUUUUUCUCUACGAGGAGAGAUAGAAAGGAUGUGGAGGAGAUAGCAUCUAUUAACGCUGGUGAGGAGAGAUAAAGAGGAUGCAGAGAAGAGAUAACGCUGGUGAGAAAAGGAAGGUCCUACCUAAAAAAAGUAGCACUGAUUUAACUAGGUAACGCAGUCGCGGUGUGGGUUGUUGACUCGGGGAUAUAAACGUAAUUAAAAAAUUUAUACAACGACCGUUUUUAACACUGGUUGUGCUCCGCAUUUUUAUUAAAUAUAGGACCGUCUUGACCGGUCCACGGUCCAUUGACCGCCACUGAGGUCGGGGGUGUGGGUCAUUAAGAUCCCCUUUUCCACUAGUGACUGUUUAUUUAUGUACUUCAUUGAUACUAGUAUUCUAUUAACUACCAAAAUUUGCUUGCACUGGUUAAAACUACGUUAUUCUGAAUAACUGAUUGACCACUGGGUCAAAUCUUUGUAGGAAAUAUGAUAGAGCAUCGAUGGAGUGUUUUGAAGAAGCUCGAAAAUCAUACAAUACCUAUGACACUUUUUUUGUUUGUCUUCUUACCCAUGUGUACAUAGUUGUACACAUAUUGAUUUUCAAUGUGCACAUAGUUGUACACCUGUUUAUUGAUAAUUUACGUUGAUCGGGAUACACAUAGUUCUACAAAUGAAGGACUUUCUAUAAUAUUAAGAAUUAGCUUACUAUGUAACCUUUACGGGGAUACCUUCAUAUACCAUCAUCGUUAGUCCCCGGAUUCUUAAUCAUAAUGUGAGAAGUUCUAUAAUAUAAAUUCUUACAUUUUGGGUAUAAACUGUACUGCUUGCUGGUCUAAAUUCUUGCACCUCAGGCAUAUAUUCAUCUACUAUAACUAUAGGUUUAAAAGACUGAAUACUACUUUAAAUUACCCUUUAUGUUUUAUUUUCAUGUAAAUAAAACUAUGUUACGUUGAGUUUUUGUUUACUUACAUCGUUGUUGCUUCAUGUAAAAUAUUCUUCUAAUUUCAUGUAUUCUAAACAGGUUCUAUCAUCUCACAUUUUGUUAGUUUGUGUAGGUUGGACCUAAUUCAAGUUUCCUACAUGUGAGGAUGGUGGAAUCACCCAAGGAGGCUGCUAACAAUUGCAAAUAGUGAAAGUUCGAUACUAGGGAUGAACACAUUGAUGCACAAGUGUAUUUUUCCAUGAAAAAGUAAAUUUGUGGGUGGUAGUGAAUAAACGGUCUCAUACAUGUUUUGAAGGGGUGUACAUAUUGGUGGACAGUGUAAUUCUCAUGGAAAAGUAGGUCACGUGGUGGAUAUGGACGACCUGGACAAAGUGGUGCACAAGUGAAAAACUUACUGCAUAAGCUUUUAAAAGUUUCGUGCAUGUGCACUUUUUUUGUACAUAUCAAAAUAAAUUUUUUGAUAUGGGUACUUUUUUUGUAGCUAUCGAAAAGAGCUUUCUGAAUAUAUAAAGUUUGUGAAUUUUGGAUGAACGGUUCGAAAAAUAAAUCAUUUUAAAAUUAUUUUUAUAUUA